GGGAAAAUGGCCGGGUGCCUAUGCAUGCAGUCGCACGCAGCGCACUUCGGUGCGCUGAGUGGCGCACGGCUGAGGAACACGUGAGUACCUGCCCGAGUGUGGGGAUAACCUGCCGAAAGGCGGGCUAAUCCCGCAUACGCUCGUGCUUUGCACGAGGAAAGCGGCAACGCGCACUCGGAGGGGCUUGCGGCCCAUCAGGUCGUUGGUGUGGUAACGGCGCACCAAGCCUCUGACGGGUAGCUGGUCUGUGAGGACAACCAGCCAGACUGGGACUGAGAGACGGCCCAGACUCCUACGGGAGGCAGCAGCAAGGAAUUUUCCCCAAUGGGCGCAAGCCUGAGGGAGCAACGCCGCGUGCGGGACGACGGCCUUCGGGUUGUAAACCGCUUUUCGUGGGGACGAUGAUGACGGUACCCGCGGAAUCAGCCCCGGCUAACUCUGUGCCAGCAGCCGCGGUAAGACAGAGGGGGCAAGCGUUGUCCGGACUGACUGGGCGUAAAGCGCGCGCAGGCGGUCUCGGGCGUCGGUGCUGAAAGUCCACCGCUUAACGGUGGGUCGCGUGCCGAUACGCCGAGACUGGAGGGUGGGCGAGGGUGGUGGAAUUGCCGGUGUAGUGGUGAAAUGCGUAGAGAUCGGCAGGAACACCCGUGGCGCAAGCGGCCACCUAGCCCAUUCCUGACGCUGAGGCGCGACAGCGUGGGGAGCGAACGGGAUUAGAUACCCCGGUAGUCCACGCCGUAAACGAUGCCGACUCGGUAUCCGUGGGGGCGAACAGCCUCGGGGGUGCCCCAGCCCACGCGGUAAGUCGGCCGCCUGGGGACUACGAGCGCAAGCUUAAAACUCAAAGGAAUUGACGGGGGCCCGCACAAGCAGCGGAGCGUGUGGUUUAAUUCGACGCAACGCGCAGAACCUUACCUAGCCUUGACUUGCAGCUGCAAGCCGCUGAAAGGCGGUCGCCUUCGAGGGUGCUGCACCGGUGCUGCAUGGCUGUCGU
rnacentral:rRNA from 1 species